CUGGUUUAGCAAAGAAAUCUCUCUGUCAUAAUUCUUCUUCAAGUUAUCAAUCUCCUGGUAUGCCUUCUCGGUCUCCUGUUCUGCCAUACAUGCUCUUUUCUGCAGGAUAAAUAAAUAAGGUUUCUGUUAAACACUACUAUUGCACCGGGAACAGACAAAGGAUAACCCUCAAUUGAACUCCAUGCUCCACCAGGAUAUAGCUACCUAGAAACAAAAGCUACAUGUACAUUGCAUUAUCUAGUCAGUCUUGCUUGCUCGACGAAUCAAUUAAGUUUCUUUGGCAUCGAAUUGUUUUCUAAGUAAUGGCAAACGAUUAUACACAUCAAACUUAUUUAGUGAUACACGUAUCAGUGAUGGGGAAAACGUAAACUUAUGCAUUAAUAAGUUGUAAGGAGAAUCAUGCAGAUGUAUGUUACAGCAAACAGAAACAUACCUCGGCGGUUGCAACAGCUUCUUCUGUUUCCUUCAGCCGCACGAGCAAUUCUCCAGCAGCCUGUACAGCUUCAGCUGUAUCUCUAAGUUGAACCUGAAGACCUCUAUUCUCAUCUCUCCAAUAUUGCCGCUCCUUUUCUCUGUCAGCUCUAAGAGCAGAAAUUUCUGCAGCAAGGGAGUUAAUGAAUUUUGACUCCGCUCCUUUUACCCCAGCUCUGGCAGCUGCUUUCUUCACAUCCUCGAUGCCAUCCAUAAUUUUCCUGUGCCUCGCAAGUAGACCAAUAUGUUUCUCUUGGAGGUCUGCAUACUGCUCCAAAAUCCUAGCAUGACCCUGCAUUGCUGUCUGCAGUGCCUCCUUUAGCUCGUCCGUGCACUCCUUCUCCGAAUCAAGAUCCACCUUCCUCUUUUCAGCAAGCGAUCGACUUGCUUCAAGUUCAAGUUUAAGUUCCUCUGAAAGUAUGAUCCAUUCACUCUCCCUUUCGGUCCAAUUACACCCAUCUGGUUCAAUUUUUUCAUUGCCACUUGCUUCAGUUGACUCUGAUAUAGUACAGAGAGGAGUUGAAGUGGUUCCGCAUGAAUGAGUCAGCUGAAGCAAAGGGCUUUGUUUUCGAGUUGAGUUGGAAGAAAACUCCAAGUAAUAUUGUAAUUGACUUCUUAGAUCCUGGAUCUCUUCCAUCAAGACAUCCCUCUCACCCAUAUUAAAAAAGUUCUUAAAACCAUCCAGUUCUUCUUGAACUCUUUUAAGCUCGAUGUUAAGCCGCAUAAUAUCUGGGUGAUUCUCAUAUUUCUCUUUAAGAAGCUGUUACUUGCAGAAAAUAAAUAAAUAUUAGGAAAAACUUUAACAAAGUAAAACUCCUGAUAAUAGGGCUAUCAGGUAAACUGAAAAAAUGAAACUCAUCAGUUGACGCUGAAGACCUUGUGUUCAUUCAUGAGAGAAGCAAACUCUUCUUCCAUGAACUCCUCUGUCGGCAAAAUACCAUCCAUAAGACUCUCAAGACGAGAAAUUUUGUCCUCCCGUGUCUCAGCAAUUAUGGCACUGCAUUCUCGCUCAUGCUUAUAUUGUUGUAACUGCACCAGCCAUAGAAAUGAGAAAAGCAUAGUAUAGAAAACCAAAAAUAUAAAAAAAAUGGAAAAGAUACUCUACCAAACGAUUUAGUUGCAUGAUUUCAGCAGCUUGCUUUGCACAGUGUUCUUCAAGAGCCAUUUCUCGCCUGAUAGAGCCAGUCAAGACCUUCUUCACUGCCUACAGUCAAAAAAACAUCACCCUAAACCCUAUUAAACAAGUUUAAUAAAUCCAUGAACAUUUAAGAAGAAAUGAACAGAAAUCUACAGAAUAUUCAACUUAUGCUUUGUAAUGUACCCGAGGAACUUUCAUCUUGAGUUUGUCAGUCGACAUUGUUCCAUCAAUAGUUACCAAUUGAAGAUCAGUGCCAUUCUUGGUAUCUUCAUUUUCAUCUUCUGAAGCUAUCUUCUUGCAACAACUACAAACAUAUGCAGACAACUGUUCCAUUUCUUCUGGAUCUUGAACGAUUGUUUGUAUGCCAAUAUCGACCUUGUUUAUUGGCACCACUGGCUUGACAUCAGUAAGUGCAACAGAAAAUCUGAAUGAUGACCUCCUCACGAAUGGGUUAAGCUGCUGGUUAUCGAAAAUUUGAAGACCACGUCGCAGACUGGCUGCUAAAUUCUCAGUCUUGUUUGUUUGAGUUACAUAAGUGUUUAGAGGAUAUGAAGAUUGUGCAAGGGAUACGUUUAGUACUCCAGAGCCUAAUUUCAAAUCAUCUGCUAUAAUCUUCUGAGAUGCUGACAUAGAUGAUGAUGUUCUAAGGCUUUUUCUACUGAAAUUUUCAAGCACAGGUGAUUUACUCGAAGUAGGCAGUUGAAGAACUAGAGAUGUCUGGCUGGGCACAAUGCCACUACUGUCAGGAGAAACUAUGGAACUUGGGGAGCUAGAAGAAUCACGAGUUUGCGCUUCAUGGAUAAUGUAUUCCUUUUCCACUGACGG
rnacentral:lncRNA from 1 species